AGUGAACGCUGGCGGCAGGCCUAACACAUGCAAGUCGAACGGCAGCACAAGAGAGCUUGCUCUCUGGGUGGCGAGUGGCGGACGGGUGAGGAAUGCAUCGGAAUCUGCCCAUUUGUGGGGGAUAACCUCGGGAAACCGGGACUAAUACCGCAUACGACCUACGGGUGAAAGCAGGGGAUCUUCGGACCUUGCGCAGAUGGAUGAGCCGAUGCCGGAUUAGCUAGUUGGAGGGGUAAAGGCCCACCAAGGCGACGAUCCGUAGCUGGUCUGAGAGGAUGAUCAGCCACACUGGGACUGAGACACGGCCCAGACUCCUACGGGAGGCAGCAGUGGGGAAUAUUGGACAAUGGGCGCAAGCCUGAUACAGCCAUGCCGCGUGUGUGAAGAAGGCCUUCGGGUUGUAAAGCACUUUUGUUGGGAAAGAAAAGCAGCCGGUUAAUACCCGGUUGUCAUGACGGUACCCAAAGAAUAAGCACCGGCUAACUUCGUG
rnacentral:rRNA from 1 species